CAGCCACAUCAGGUUGAAAUCCCAUUUCCCGUGCGAUCACCGAAGUUAAGCAGCGUCGAGCCUGGUCAGUACCUAGAUGGGUACCGCUUGGAUAUCUCAGGUGCUGCAAG